rnacentral:rRNA from 1 species
UACGGAGGGUGCAAGCGUUAUCCGGAUUCACUGGGCGUAAAGGGUGCGUAGGUGGUGAGGUAAGUCGGAUGUGAAAUCUCCGAGCUCAACUCGGAAAUGGCAUUGGAAACUACCUUGCUCGAGGGUUGGAGGGGGGACUGGAAUACUUGGUGUAGCAGUGAAAUGCGUAGAUAUCAAGUGGAACACCAGUGGCGAAGGCGAGUCCCUGGACAACUCCUGACACUGAGGCACAAAAGCUAGGGGAGCAAACAGG